rnacentral:rRNA from 1 species
GCUGGCGGCAGGCCUAACACAUGCAAGUCGAACGCUCUCUUCGGAGGGAGUGGCAGACGGGUGAGUAACGCGUGGGAACCUACCUAGUGGUACGGAAUAACUCGGGGAAACCCGUGCUAAUACCGUAUGUGCCCGAUAGGGGAAAGAUUUAUCGCCAUUAGAUGGGCCCGCGUCGGAUUAGCUUGUUGGUGAGGUAAUGGCUCACCAAGGCGACGAUCCGUAGCUGGUCUGAGAGGAUGAUCAGCCACACUGGGACUGAGACACGGCCCAGACUCCUACGGGAGGCAGCAGUGGGGAAUAUUGGACAAUGGGCGCAAGCCUGAUCCAGCCAUGCCGCGUGAGUGACGAAGGCCUUAGGGUUGUAAAGCUCUUUUGGCGGGGACGAUAAUGACGGUACCCGCAGAAUAAGCCCCGGCUAACUUCGUGCCAGCAGCCGCGGUAAUACGAAGGGGGCUAGCGUUGUUCGGAAUCACUGGGCGUAAAGCGCACGUAGGCGGAUUUGUAAGUUAGGGGUGAAAUCCCGGGGCU